UGUGAAGUUACUUAAACAACCAGGAGGUUGGCUUAGAAGCAGCCAUCCUUUAAAGAAAGCGUAAUAGCUCACUGGUCUAGUGAUUUUGCGCGGAAAAUAUAACGGGGCUAAAGUAAGUACCGAAGCUGUAGACUUGCACACAACUUAGAUUAUUUAAGUUUAGAAUAUGAGAAACUAAGUUAUAUGUUUAGUUAUAUUUUUACUGAUUUUUAUAGAGUAAAGAUAGAAAUAAAACUUAGUAAAAUCAGUAAAAAUAUUCUUAGACUAAAGUUAAGUAGUUUAAGUUGUGUGCAAGUGGUAGGAGAGCGUUCUAUUUGCGCCGAAGGUAUACCGGUAAGGAGUGCUGGAGCGAAUAGAAGUGAGCAUGCAGGCAUGAGUAGCGAUAAUUAAUGUGAGAAUCAUUAACGCCGUAAACCCAAGGUUUCCUACGCGAUGCUCGUCAUCGUAGGGUUAGUCGGGUCCUAAGUCGAGUCCGAAAGGGGUAGACGAUGGCAAAUUGGUUAAUAUUCCAAUACCAACAUUAGUGUGCGAUGGAAGGACGCUUAGGGCUAAGGGGGCUAGCGGAUGGAAGUGCUAGUCUAAGGUCGUAGGAGGUUAUACAGGCAAAUCCGUAUAACAAUACUCCGAGAACUGAAAGGCUUUUUGAAGUCUUCGGAUGGAUAGAAGAACCCCUGAUGCCGUCGAGCCAAGAAAAGUUUCUAAGUUUAGCUAAUGUUGCCCGUACCGUAAACCGACACAGGUGGGUGGGAUGAGUAUUCUAAGGCGCGUGGAAGAACUCUCUUUAAGGAACUCUGCAAAAUAGCACCGUAUCUUCGGUAUAAGGUGUGGUUAGCUUUGUAUUAGGAUUUACUCCGAAAGCAAGGAAACUUACAACAAAGAGUCCCUCCCGACUGUUUACCAAAAACACAGCACUCUGCUAACUCGUAAGAGGAUGUAUAGGGUGUGACGCCUGCCCGGUGCUCGAAGGUUAAUUGAUGGGGUUAGCAUUAGCGAAGCUCUUGAUCGAAGCCCGAGUAAACGGCGGCCGUAACUAUAACGGUCCUAAGGUAGCGAAAUUCCUUGUCGGUUAAAUACCGACCUGCAUGAAUGGCGUAACGAGAUGGGAGCUGUCUCAAAGAGGGAUCCAGUGAAAUUGUAGUGGAGGUGAAAAUUCCUCCUACCCGCGGCAAGACGGAAAGACCCCGUGGACCUUUACUACAGCUUGACACUGCUACUUGGAUAAGAAUGUGCAGGAUAGGUGGGAGGCUUUGAGUAUAUGACGCCAGUUGUAUAUGAGCCAUUGUUGAGAUACCACUCUUUCUUAUUUGGGUAGCUAACCAGCUUGAGUUAUCCUCAAGUGGGACAAUGUCUGGUGGGUAGUUUGACUGGGGCGGUCGCCUCCCAAAUAAUAACGGAGGCUUACAAAGGUUGGCUCAGAACGGUUGGAAAUCGUUCGUAGAGUAUAAAGGUAUAAGCCAGCUUAACUGCAAGACAUACAAGUCAAGCAGAGACGAAAGUCGGUCUUAGUGAUCCGGUGGUUCUGUGUGGAAGGGCCAUCGCUCAAAGGAUAAAAGGUACCCCGGGGAUAACAGGCUGAUCUCCCCCAAGAGCUCACAUCGACGGGGAGGUUUGGCACCUCGAUGUCGGCUCAUCGCAUCCUGGGGCUGGAGCAGGUCCCAAGGGUAUGGCUGUUCGCCAUUUAAAGCGGUACGCGAGCUGGGUUCAGAACGUCGUGAGACAGUUCGGUCCCUAUCUGCCGUGGGCGUAAGAAGAUUGAAGAGAUUUGACCCUAGUACGAGAGGACCGGGUUGAACAAACCACUGGUGUAGCUGUUGUUCUGCCAAGAGCAUCGCAGCGUAGCUAAGUUUGGAAAGGAUAAACGCUGAAAGCAUCUAAGCGUGAAGCCAACUCUAAGAUGAAUCUUCUCUAAGCUCUCUAGAAGACUACUAGUUUGAUAGGCUGGGUGUGUAAUGGAUGAAAGUCCUUUAGCUGACCAGUACUAAUAGAGCGUUUGGCUUAUCUUUAAUAAAGCAU
rnacentral:rRNA from 1 species